rnacentral:rRNA from 1 species
AUUGAACGCUGGUGGCAGGCCUAACACAUGCAAGUCGAACGAGUGGCGGACGGGUGAGUAAUGUCUGGGAAACUGCCUGAUGGAGGGGGAUAACUACUGGAAACGGUAGCUAAUACCGCAUAACAUGGGAUGUGCACAGAUGGGAUUAGCUAGUAGGUGUGGUAAAGGCUCACCUCGGCGACGAUCCCUAGCUGGUCUGAUAGGAUGACCAGCCACACUGGAACGGAGACACGGGCCAGACUCCUACGGGAGGCAGCAGUGGGGAAUAUUGCACAAUGGGCGCAAGCCGGAUGCAGCCAUGCCGCGUGUAUGAAGAAGGCCUUCGGGUUGUAAAGUACUUUCAGCGGGGAGGCGUUACCCGCAGAAGAAGCACCGGCUAACUCCGUGCCAGCAGCCGCGGUAAUAC